CCAUGAAAGGAUUUGAGUUUUCUUUUUUUUUAAUGUGAAUCCAAAGGUGGCAUUUACAAAAGGUGGAGAAGGAGUUCUCUACUGAGGGACAUGGAUACAAAAAGCAGAUGACAACACAGGAAGAAAAGAUACACAAAGAGGAGAAGGUGGUGUGAAGAUGGAAGCCAAGGCUGGUGAUACCAGUUGGAGAGCACCGACGACUACCCGCAGCCACCUGAAGCUAGGAGAGAGGCAUAGGAUUGUUUUCCUUCAGACCCUCUGGAAAGACCAGACCUUCCCACGCCUUGAUUUCAGACUUUGGCAUCCCACAUUGUGAGAGAAUAAAAUUUUGUUUUUGAAGCCAA